CGGGGCGUGGCGCAGCCCGGAAGCGCGCUUGCAUGGGGUGCAAGAGGUCGGAGGUUCAAAUCCUCUCGCCCCGACCA
rnacentral:tRNA from 2 species